AACUAAUUUGCAAUAAAAAAAAUUUAAAAAUUAUCCAAAUCGGGAUGAAGGGAGGUUUAGCCAAGAAACACAUUAAGAAAACACAAAAUUUUCCAACAAAUAUCUCUUCAUUGUUCACCAAAUCUCAGGAAAUGUAUGGCCAUUAAUUGACUGACCAUAGACCAUCUCUCAAGCAAGAUCAGAAAAAUGCUAAUGCGUGAAUAACACCGAAAGAAAAGGGCUAAUAUUCAAACCAAAAUCUCGGGACCGCACACUUUUUUUCCUUGGUGACUGCAAAUGCGGUCAGUGGUCACUGAUACGACUAUAUAUCACUACUCCAAUAAACACACAACAACAAUGUGUGUGUCCAUAGUCCAUACAUGAGGUGAGUAAACAAGGAAGAUAUGGUUAGGUGGUGCGGUCAGUCUGACCCUGCUGCAGCUUAUCUAACAACAGAGACACUAUUGCUUUUCAAGUCCAAAUAAAUUUACCAUUACACUUUCACACAAUCUAUGAUCUAUCACUCUUUACAUUCAUUACUCCCUUGUGCCCACAUCCACAUUUCAACCUAGCCUCCUCUGCUCUCCAUAUCUAUCCCCCUAUCUGCAUUAAUUGCUCAAACUCUUUCUCCCAGUACUUCAUCUUUUUCCAAGUUUAGAGUCUAAAAUCUUGUCAGAUCACUGUCACACAAACCUAUACACAACCAUACUUUGAGCUCAUUUAACUCAGGACUAUUAAGGCCUUGUUUGGCAACUAGUUUUACAGUAGUUUAAGGCAAAACAGAUCUGAAAUCUCGAAUCCUAUGCAAAGACAUUAAACACCCAGGCAGUUAAAAUAGUUUAAACAGGAGUUCACGUGUAAUAAAGAAAAGCAAUGGAACAGCAAUAAUGGAAGAAAAAUAGUUAUUGUGUGAUAGGACACUUCCAUGAAAGAUAGCCAGUUUGUCACCGAUCCAUCAGUACAGAGACCUCCUCAUACUUGUCAUUUCUUGACCUGUCUUUUCCCACCCCUCCCAAUGUACACAUACAACCAUACAUAGUGCAGUCAAGUGCCCAUCUCUAGGCAAGCCCAGAGUCAGACCCAGACUCACUGUUCAUCAACAUUCAAAUCUCAUUAUCAAAUAAUAACACUCAAGAGACUCGAGAGUUCGACCUUGUCAAAAACACGGAACAGGCAAAUAAGAUUACGAAAAGGUUGAGGCUUUAACUUGAUAAUAAUGUUAGAAUUCAUGUCAAAAGAACCCAACCAACCUGUUAAUGUUGAUAAAGAACAUUUGCAUAUAAUACAAUCUAUGAAGCAAAACCAGAGACAUAGUGUAUACAAAAUGUUAAAAAAAGACCAGAUUGAGCCGUCCCGCCAAUAUCACUCCACGACCACAGAGACAAUAUUCAAAGGAAGGUUUGAAGCUUCUGUUUCUGCAAUGACUUCACUAGAAAGCACGAGUUUCUAGAACAUUCUUCACAGAAGCUAAAAGAGAUGCUCCAUUUCUUCACAAGAAGUAAUGUUAAAUCACUCAUCUUGUUCUGCAUCUGCACCAAGCAAAACAAGCCCAGAGCCCAAAGCUUGAGAAGCAAAAGUGGAGUUUCUACAAGUACCAUUCUUUUGACUACAAGACAGCUAAAAAGAAACAUUGGUGGAGCUUUUCUUUUUCAUCAAAAUAAUCAAGAAAACAGAGGGGGAGAAGAAGCUUUUUUAUAUGGAAAUGAGAGUUUGAGCUUUCAAAAGGGAUUUCAAGGUAUUCUUGUCCUAUCUUGAAAACUACAAAAAAGAAAAAGCAAAGAUGAGAAUUUGCAAUUGGGGUUUAAAAUAGAGUUAAUUACAGUUUGUAACCCCUAGGAUUGCUCCAAACGCACUUAAGAUCCUGAACUAUCAAACGUUACAUAAUGCACCCUGAACUUUACAUUCCCGUGCAAGUUGUAACCCAUAGUCACUAUUCCGUCCAAAUAUGCCGUUAACUUUAACUGUUUGAGAGGUAACAGUGUGUAUAGUAGUUUCUAACAGCUACUUUACCCCCUGUGAC
rnacentral:lncRNA from 1 species